rnacentral:rRNA from 1 species
GAUGAACGCUGGCGGCGUGCCUAAUACAUGCAAGUCGAGCGAAGCGGGGACGGGUGAGUAACACGUGGAUAACCUCCUAUAAGACUGGGAUAACUUCGGGAAACCGGAGCUAAACCGGAUACUUAUAGAUGGAUCCGCGCUGCAUUAGCUAGUUGGUAAGGUAACGGCUUACCAAGGCAACGAUGCAUAGCCGACCUGAGAGGGGGACCGCCCACACUGGAACUGAGACAGGGCCCAGACUCUAACGGAGGGCGGCAGAGGGAAACCUUCCGCAAGGGGCGAAGCCCUAACGGAGCAAGGCCGGGUGGGUAUGAAGGGUCUCGGAUUGUAAAACUCGUUUUUAAGGAAAACGGAACCUAUCAGAAAGCCACGGCUAACUACGUGCCAGCAGCCGCGGUAAUUC